UGUCAUUAAGAGUAUUACACCUGAAGAAUUUCAACAUAAAACAUCAUGAAGCUCUUUGUAUUUACAGUAGUAGCCAUUAUGCUAUUCUCAUUUUCACCUUCCGGAAAAGUUAAUGCUUUUGAUUGGGACUGUUGGAAUACAAUACUAUCAUGGUUUUUAACUCCUGAUGUUCUAUGUGACAAGUGUACGGUCGAUUAAGUAUGUACUAUUGAAGGAUGGAAUGGAUGGAAGUGCUCAACUUUUGAGUAUGCGGGAUGUAGGUUUGUGCCAUCAUCAAAUUUUUUCUCUUCAUAUCGGGAAUUGAAGUGCACCAAGCCACAUAUUAACGUCUUUUACAAAAAUGGAGGAAUUACUUAUCGCUAUUCGAAUAUAAUUUCAAUUAAUCUAUUCGGUUAAAUAUUUCAUGCAUACACUAAAAUUUUAAAAAAUAUAUUCUGUAUGACCCAUACUGAAAACUAAAUAAAUUUAGUGUAAAUAACUAA